CGGAUGAUCAACCUGCUUUGGGAGCAGGGGGUCGUGGGUUCGAAUCCCGCUAUUCCGA
rnacentral:tRNA from 1 species